rnacentral:rRNA from 1 species
UACGAAGGGGGCUAGCGUUGCUCGGAAUCACUGGGCGUAAAGCGCACGUAGGCGGGUCCUUAAGUCAGGGGUGAAAUCCUGGAGCUCAACUCCAGAACUGCCUUUGAUACUGGCGAUCUUGAGUCCGGGAGAGGUGAGUGGAACUGCGAGUGUAGAGGUGAAAUUCGUAGAUAUUCGCAAGAACACCAGUGGCGAAGGCGGCUCACUGGCCCGGUACUGACGCUGAGGUGCGAAAGCGUGGGGAGCAAACAGGG